AGAAACCAUCAGGGAUUGCCCUAGUAACGGCGAGUGAAGCGGCAACAGCUCAAAUUUGAAAUCUGGCUCUUUUAGAGUCCAGAUUGUAAUUUGCAGAGGGCGCUUUGGCUUUGGCAGCGGUCCAAGUUCCUUGGAACAGGACGUCACAGAGGGUGAGAAUCCCGUACGUGGUCGCUGGCUAUUGCCGUGUAAAGCCCCUUCCACGAGACGAGUUGUUUGGGAAUGCAGCUCUAAAUGGGAGGUACAUUUCUUCUAAAGCUAAAUAUUGGCCAGAGACCGAUAGCGCACAAGUAGAGUGAUCGAAAGAUGAAAAGCACUUUGGAAAGAGAGUCAAACAGCACGUGAAAUUGUUGAAAGGGAAGCGCUUGCAGCCAGACUUGCUUACAGUUGCUCAUCCGGGUUUUUACCCGGUGCACUCUUUUGUAGGCAGGCCAGCAUCGGUUUGGGCGGUAGGAUAAAGGUCUCUGUCACGUACCUCUUUUCGGGGAGGCCUUAUAGGGGAGACGACAUACUACCAGCCUGGACUGAGGUCCGCGCAUCUGCUAGGAUGCUGGCGUAAUGGCUGUAA
rnacentral:rRNA from 1 species